UGCAAGUCGAACGGGAUUCUUUGAUCAGUUUGCUGAGAGAAGGAUCUAGUGGCGGACGGGUGAGUAACGCGUGGGAAUCUGCCUCUUACUGGGGGAUAACAGUGGGAAACUACUGCUAAUACCGCAUAAGAUCUUCGGAUGAAAGGUGCAACUGCACCGGUAAGAGAUGAGCCCGCGUCCCAUUAGCUAGUUGGUGAGGUAAAGGCUCACCAAGGCGACGAUGGGUAGCCGGCCUGAGAGGGUGAACGGCCACACUGGGACUGAGACACGGCCCAGACUCCUACGGGAGGCAGCAGUAGGGAAUCUUCCGCAAUGGGCGCAAGCCUGACGGAGCGACGCCGCGUGAGUGAUGAAGGCCUUCGGGUCGUAAAGCUCUGUUCUUGAGGACGAAUAAGCCAGGGAGUGGAAAGCCCUGGUGAUGACUGUACUCAAGGAGAAAGCUCCGGCUAACUACGUGCCAGCAGCCGCGGUAAUACGUAGGGAGCUAGCGUUGUCCGGAAUUACUGGGUGUAAAGGGCGCGCAGGCGGUUUCAUAAGUCAGGUGUGAAAGCCCGGGGCUCA
rnacentral:rRNA from 1 species